rnacentral:lncRNA from 1 species
CGGCCAUCUUCUGUGAAAGUAUUCUCAGGCAAAAGUGAGCGCAGCUCCUCUGGACUGCUGGAAUGGGAAUCCAAGAGCGAUGCCCUGGAGACUCCGGGCUUCCUGAACCAUUACCAGAUGAAAAACCCAAUGGUCCAUACCCUUACACUCUGAAGUUGUGUUUCUCCACCGCUCAGCACGCCUUCUAAUUAGGUGCCUAGGAAAAGUCCCAUCUGAGCAGGAAGGAAUAAUCGGUGGAGAUGGAUUGUGAAAUGGAGGUGCAUAAAUAUCCAGUUUGCCAACCGAGCUAAGAAAUGCUGGAUAAAAGUAAAAGGAUAUAGAAGACUUAGAUCACUACGAGAUGAAAGCAGAGCCCAUUAGUGGGAAAAAGUUGGAGGAUGAAGGAAUUGCAAAAGAAAAUUUGGCAAUAUUAGAGAAAUUAGGAAGACUGAAAGGCAAGAGCAUUUAACUGCGGUUGACCCUGCUAGUCCUUUGCACAGUGAUCUUCAGAUCUUAAAAGAAAAAGAAGGCAUAGGAGAUACUUUGCUUAACUUAUCUUUUAAGAAACUGUUGUCGUUGUCAACUGGGUUGUCUUCCUGAAGUAUGAAUCCGCCAAUGGCUCCUGACACCAGAAAGAAGGGCCUUUUUCUGUGGUUGGAGUAUUUCUUAAGAGUCCUGAGAAAAAUGUGAUUGCCUUGAGCUAACUGACCUUCUGAAGAGGACCUUAAACUGAAUUUCCAAGUUAUUAGUGUCGGGAUUCACAGACUUUGGAGAAUAGCAGGGCUGAAGCAGUGCCUACUCGACAGAACCGGUCAUCGUACAAAGAAAUGCCACCUGACUCAAAGGCAAAGCCAGAGUACAGCUUGGAGCAAAGAAGAUGAUGUCUCACUCUGUCACCCAAGAU